GUGAACUCAUGGUUCGGUGUAUUUCGGCCCACCAUGGCGCCCAGAAACAAACCAGAAAUGUCAACUAGAUUCUGCACCGCCAGAUAUCCAAGGAAUGGCAGUUUGGUCAUAAAAGCACUGCAACGCCAGCCACCAUUUCUACGCUCCCUCUGCGUAGGUUUGCUCGGCUUCCCCUUUUAAGAAAGGUCCGGGCCCCGCCGUACAUGGAGAAAGAUGCUAAAUACAGGGUGCACGAGCAUGAUGCACAGAAGGCUGUAAACUCGGUCCUGCAAAAUCACAUCUGGGGAUUAAGGGGGAAAUAACUCAGUGUCGAAAUACAGCCUUUCCCACUCUUCUGCCUUCCAGAUGUGUUGGGAUGUGAACAAUGGACGUGCCGGCCAUCAAAGCAUCCAGGGGCGUCAACUCUGUGAGCCCAGGUUCCACCACACCGCCCGCGGUAGCAUCGUCUCAUUUCCGGCAUCUGGAAGACGGAGGCAGAGCUGGUGGACUGAGCUGGCCACGUUGGUAUCGCUUCGUCUUCUGAAAUGGUUAAUCGCUUUGCUGUUAGCCCCCCCCCCCCNNNNNNNNNNNNNNNNNNNNNNNNNNNNNNNUCAUGCUGGGAGGUUGUUCAUUACAAAUAAGCGUGCACAGGCUGACUAAGCAUCUUCUUCAUGUAUGCAGACGGUUCACCAUACAUCCAGUUUGACCCUUGGCCACAGACAUCUAGCAAAACACCCUCUCUUGAUUACGGAUCCAGACCAGCAGCCAGGCUGGAGAGAGCGAAUUCCUAUCAUUUCAACGGCCAACGGAAGCUGGUUUUCACCUUCUGCCUGUCCCAACUUAGAAAGAUCAUUAGCCAUUCUAAUGCCAGCUUGACCUCCGGCAUCCAAGGCGUACAGCGCCUAGCACAAGGGCACCUUCUCUGCUUUGAGUCAACAUGGCCGCAAAGGGUUAGCCGGUCUCCUUCCUCGACACAUCGGGAGGCCGUCCACUUCCUCUGGACAUCCUGCACCGGAUUCAGGAGUCGGCGGGAAAUCAGGGGAAACGGGACCCUCUCCAGAUUCACCCAGAACACUUCCGGCUCCAUCCUCCAGGCCUGGGAGGGCAGGAAACAGGUGCGAAACGCUUUGCUCCUGGCCCGUAAGCCGCUGCCCACCCACCCCUCCCGGACCCCAGUGUGAGUCAUGCCAUGGCAAAACGCCAUGCGGGAACCUGGGGAAACUAAUCCCUCUCACCCGGCACUGGGCCGAUCCUUCCGCCCAUCUCGCCGGCUCCAAAUAGGGAAUGACGAAUGAAUGGCCCGCCGUGUCUUAAGAGGAAACCGCUGUGAUCUCAGAAGGAA
rnacentral:lncRNA from 1 species